UCUCCAGUGAGCAAGAAGCAGGAGAGGAGAUGCCUGAUGCGGUUUGAGGGACACCCCACGCACGCUGGCAGAGCAUCUCCGCCAGAUAAGAAAGCGCCCAAGAUGGAGCAAAGAAGACAUGUUCUGGGAGGUGCUGCAGU